rnacentral:rRNA from 1 species
GGCGCUACCAUGCAGUCGAGCGGUAGCACAGAGAGCUUGCUCUCGGGUGACGAGCGGCGGACGGGUGAGUAAUGUCUGGGAAACUGCCUGAUGGAGGGGGAUAACUACUGGAAACGGUAGCUAAUACCGCAUAAUGUCGCAAGACCAAAGUGGGGGACCUUCGGGCCUCAUGCCAUCAAAUGUGCCCAGAUGGGAUUAGCUAGUAGGUGGGGUAACGGCUCACCUAGGCGACGAUCCCUAGCUGGUCUGAGAGGAUGACCAGCCACACUGGAACUGAGACACGGUCCAGACUCCUACGGGAGGCAGCAGUGGGGAAUAUUGCACAAUGGGCGCAAGCCUGAUGCAGCCAUGCCGCGUGUGUGAAGAAGGCCUUCGGGUUGUAAAGUACUUUCAGCGGGGAGGAAGGCGAUAAGGUUAAUAACCUUGUCGAUUGACGUUACCCGCAGAAGAAGCACCGGCUAACUCCGUGCCAGCAGCCGCGGUAAUACGGAGGGUGCAAGCGUUAAUCGGAAUUACUGGGCGUAAAGCGCACGCAGGCGGUCUGUCAAGUCGGAUGUGAAAUCCCCGGGCUCAACCUGGGAACUGCAUUCGAAACUGGCAGGCUAGAGUCUUGUAGAGGGGGGUAGAAUUCCAGGUGUAGCGGUGAAAUGCGUAGAGAUCUGGAGGAAUACCGGUGGCGAAGGCGGCCCCCUGGACAAAGACUGACGCUCAUGUGCGAAAGCGUGGGGAGCAAACAGGAUUAGC